GAUUUCAACUGAAAAAGUCAUCAACAACAAAGUUGUAUAACUCAUCAAGAUCUAUAACUUUUAUUUUGGUCAUUUCUAUAUCCGACAAAGUGAUAGUAACAUUGUUCACAAAAUUUACAUAUCUGUCAUUUGUUUUUAUAAACUAUAAUAGAGAGAUUUAAAUUUUGUGAACAAUGUUACUAUCACUUUGUCGGAUGAAGAAAUGACCAAAAUAAAAGUUGAAUGUCUUGAUGAGUUCUACAACUUUUAUGUUCAUGACAUUUUCAGCUGAAUUU
rnacentral:pre_miRNA from 2 species